rnacentral:lncRNA from 1 species
GUAAUGAUUCUAAUCCAAAACAGGCCAAAAAACUCGCAAAAUUGUUGUCUGGUCAGGCAUCACGUCGAGCCCCAUACUGGACUCGACGAGUCCAAGGUAAACUUCAACCUACUCGUCAAGUACAAGAAUGGACUCGCCACGAAACUUAUGCGAAGGGUGAAGGAAUGCAUGAGCUUGUGCAUGGAAGUCUAAAUGCGGUAAGUGUGAACGGAAUCGCCACUCUCGCAAAGAAUGCACCCUAGAAGUAGAAUUGUGUCAUCAUUGUCAUCAGCUUGUCAUCAGCCUACUCAUGUCAUGGCAGAUUUCUAGCGUUUAGCGGUUGGGGUGGCUCAGGUUGAUUUGCGAGUGCUUCUACACGGAGGGGGAGCAGAACCCUAAGGCACUACGGGUAUGUAUCAUGUUCUUCUCUUUUACGCUUAAAUCAUUAUGCUAAUAAUUCCAUAACUUGAGGACAAGUUAUGGAUUUCACCAAAAUCAAUUAAUUCAAAAAUUCUGACUAAAAAGUCAAACAAUUUGCCUAUGAUCUAAUUUAAAUCAUAAGAUAAGAUAAUUCAUAUCAAACAAGUUUCUAGAAAUUAGCCUAACCAUAUAAACUAAUACAAUUCAUGAAACUUUGACAAUUAUCUUUUAUUUGGAUGAUAAUCAUCAUUACCAUAUCAAGAAAAUCAGAUUUUAUGAACUAAAAUAUUUUUUGGUAAUGAUUCUAAUCCAAAACAGGCCAAAAAACUCGCAAAAUUGUUGUCUGGUCAGGCAACAAGUCGAGCCCCAUACUGGACUCGACGAGUCCAAGGUAAACUUCAACCUACUCGUCAAGUACAAGAAUGGACUCGCCACGAAACUUAUGCGAAGGGUGAAGGAAUGCAUGAGCUUGUGCAUGGAAGUCUAAAUGCGGAAAGUGUGAACGGAAUCGCCACUCUCGCAAAGAAUGCACCCUAGAAGUAGAAUUGCGUCAUCAUUGUCAUUAGCUUGUCAUCAGCUUGCUCAUAUCAUGGCAGAUUUCUAGCGUUUAGUGGUUGGGGUGGCUCAGGUUGAAUUGCGAGUGCUUCUAUAAGGAGGGGGGUAGAACCCUAAGAUAGUACGGGUGUGUAUCAUAUUCUUUUCUUUUACGCUUAAAUCAUUAUGCUAAUAAUUCCAUAACUUGAGGACAAGUUAUGGAUUUCACCAAAAUCAAUUAGAUCAAAAAUUCUAACUAAAAAAUCAAACAAUUUGCCUAUGAUCUAAUUAAACUCAUAAGAUAAGAUAAUUCAUAUCAAACAAGUUUCAAGAAAUUAGCCUAACCAUAUAAACUAAUACAAAUCAUGAAACUUUGACAAUUAUCUUUUGUUUGGAUGAUAAUCAUCAUUACCAUAUCAACAAAAUCAGAUUUUAUGAACUAAAAUAUUUUUUGGUAAUGAUUCUAAUCCAAAACAGGCCAAAAAACUCGCAAAAUUGUUGUCUGGUCAGGCAUCACGUCGAGCCCCAUACUGGACUCGACGAGUCCAAGGUAAACUUCAACCUACUCGUCAAGUACAAGAAUGGACUCGCCACGAAACUUAUGCGAAGGGUGAAGGAAUGCAUCAGCUUGUGCAUGGAAGUCUAAAUGCGGUAAGUGUGAACGGAAUCGCCACUCUCGCAAAGAAUGCACCCUAGAAGUAGAAUUGUGUCAUCAUUGUCAUCAGCUUGUCAUCAGCCUACUCAUGUCAUGGCAGAUUUCUAGCGUUUAGCGGUUGGGGUGGCUCAGGUUGAUUUGCGAGUGCUUCUACAGGGAGGGGGAGCAGAACCCUACGACACUACAGGUAUGUAUCAUAUUCUUCUCUUUUUCGCUUAAAUCAUUAUGCUAAUAAUUCCAUAACUUGAGGACAAGUUAUGGAUUCCACCAAAAUCAAUUAGAUCAAAAAUUCUAACUAAAAAAUCAAACAAGUUGACUAUGAUCUAAUUAAACUCAUAAGACAAGAUAAUUCAUAUCAAACAAGUUUCAAGAAAUUAGCCUAACCAUAUAAACUAAUACAAAUCAUGAAACUUUGACAAUUAUCUUUUGUUUGGAUGAUAAUCAUCAUUACCAUAUCAACAAAAUCAGAUUUUAUGAACUAAAAUAUUUUUUGGUAAUGAUUCUAAUCCAAAACAGGCCAAAAACACGCAAAAUUGUUGUCUAGUCAGGCAACAAGUCGAGCCCCAUACUGGACUCGACGAGUCCAAGGUAAACUUCAACCUACUCAUCAAGUACCAGAAUGGACUCGCCACGAAACUUAUGCGAAGGGUGAAGGAAUGCAUGAGCUUGUGCAUGGAAGUCUAAAUGCGGUAAGUGUGAACGGAAUCGCCACUCUCGCAAAGAAUGCACCCUAGAAGUAGAAUUGUGUCAUCAUUGUCAUCAGCUUGUCAUCAGCUUGCUCAUAUCAUGGCAGAUUUCUAGCGUUUAGUGGUUGGGGUGGCUCAGGUUGAAUUGCGAGUGCUUAUAUAAGGAGGGGGGGUAGAACCCUAAGAUAGUACGGGUGUGUAUCAUAUUCUUCUCUUUUACGCUUAAAUCAUUAUGCUAAUAAUUCCAUAACUUGAGGACAAGUUAUGGAUUUCACCAAAAUCAAUUAAUUCAAAAAUUCUGACUAAAAAGUCAAACAAUUUGCCUAUGAUCUAAUUUAAAUCAUAAGAUAAGAUAAUCCAUAUCAAACAAGUUUCUAGAAAUUAGCCUAACCAUAUAAACUAAUACAAUUCAUGAAACUUUGACAAUUAUCUUUUGUUUGGAUGAUAAUCAUCAUUACCAUAUCAACAAAAUCAGAUUUUAUGAACUAAAAUAUUUUUUGGUAAUGAUUCUAAUCCAAAACAGGCCAAAAAACUCGAAAAAUUGUUGUCUGGUCAGGCAUCACAUCGAGCCCCAUACUGGACUCGACGAGUCCAAGGUAAACUUCAACCUACUCGUCAAGUACAAGAAUGGACUCGCCACGAAACUUAUGCGAAGGGUGAAGGAAUGCAUGAGCUUGAGCAUGGAAGUCU